UUUCAAUUUAUCUUUCGGUAUAUCGGGCCGACUGCACUGUCUAAGCCACUGUGCGUUGCAUAUGGAAUUUUGAUACUCGUUUGUUAACGCGUGGGUGAUUUCCCUUUAAACUAUUUGCAUAUAAGUCGUGAUUUGCUUGUAAUGAUCGAAAUAUUAAUGUACAGGGUGUUCGAAAUUCGAGGGUGACCAUUGGGAUCUCGGAAACCGUAUGAGUUACAGGGUCGGUUAAAUCGAGGCAAAGUUGCGCAAUUUGGAGCUUGAUAAAAUGACGUUUAAAAAAUUUUAAAAUUCCGGGUACUUCCGAAGUUAUCCGAAAAAAAUCGAAAAUUGUCAAAAUCGUUUUUACCGAAGUUCCUUUUUUUAAGUUGGUCCGUCCACAAUUUUUUGAACGUCCAAAUAGUUUAAAUUUUUUCUUUUUAUAAUAUUUCUUUGUUUUCUCUCCAAAUUAAAACUACUAUUUCAUUUAAUUUAAUUUUCUCCUUUUAUUAUAACCAAUUUAAUUAAUAUUUUUAUAUUAAGUCUUAAUAACAACAAAUCUGCGCCUGUACGAUAGCCUUUAAAUUUCUAAAUUCCUUUGGUUUGUGCUGAACGAAGACCAGAGAGAAGACGACUUCCUUGUUAGCACUUUAUCAUCGCGUAUUGAUUCCAGUGUCGUGAUCUAUACGUUUAUUUCCGCAACUAAUGUCUUAAUAUUACCGCAUCACAGACCGUGAUUUAAAAACCCGCAACCACUCUUAGUGAUUCAACCCGAAUUAGAAGACCAAAUAAGUCAAGAGCAGGCCUGCUGAAGCUGGAUACAGAUACCUUAAGAAUGACACAAGUCGCACUUUGCACGACAACUCAAAAGUUGCCGAGAAGCUUCGGAACAGCGUUGUAUCGAGUAUAUAAGCAGCCGCAUCGCCAAUAAUAGUCAGUUGUCAGUUUAGUGCAGUUCGGAAUAUUGACGCGAAAAUAGUAUAUAAUAUGAGUAAAUACAGAGGCAAGAGGGAUUCCACAUCGGACAUGCGUUUGACGGGUCCAAGAUUGAUUAUCUACUAAACGAUAAACUAGUGUCAGUUUGACGAAAGCGUAGACGAUCCCCUGCCUGAUGCAACGGCAGACUCGAUGGAAUUCGAUGGUUGUAGGUGAUAUUUGGAUUAGGUUGGAUGACUUGUAUAAAUUUUUUAGAUAAGAAAUUC